rnacentral:lncRNA from 1 species
GGCUAAGCUUCCUCGAUAAAUGAUCCCCAUUCGGGCUUCUACAGAGAUCGGACUCCGACCGAACUUCUGUAGCGGACAGAUUUCAGACGAACUCCUAUGACACAUGGACUCCAGCAGCCGGACCCCUCUAGUGGAUGAACCUCUUCAGUGCAUCCGACACCCACUGCCGGUCGACCCUCUGUCGAAUUCUGUAUGAAACCG